UAGGUACAACAGGUAGUUGCUGGUGACUUAGGUCACGAGAGGAAAGUCCGUGCUACAAGUGAGAUAGGACUCCAUCUAACAGAUGGCCAGAGUAAUCUGAGGGCAAGUGCAACAGAGAGCAGACGACCACCUAACUUAAAGAGUUUCCCCCUCUUUUUCUCCCCUAUUUCUUAAUAGGUGGUCAAAGGUGAAACGGUGGUGUAAGAGACCACCAGUACUUAUGGUAACAUGAGUAGCUAGGUAAACCCUGUCCGUAGCAAGAGGCACAUGGUAAAAAUCUCACAAAGCCAUUUAGUUGGCAUUGGUGUCUCGCUUGAGCGUAUGGGCAACCAUACGCCUAGAUAAAUAACUACCCAAGACAGAACACGGCUUAUCGUUGUGCCUAUACU
rnacentral:RNase_P_RNA from 1 species